UACGUAGGGUGCGAGCGUUAAUCGGAAUUACUGGGCGUAAAGCGUGCGUAGGCGGUUCUCCAAGUCCGUUGUGAAAGCCCCGGGCUUAACCUGGGAAUGGCAGUGGAAACUAGGGGACUUGAAUCUGGCAGAGGGGGGUGGAAUUCCACGUGUAGCAGUGAAAUGCGUAGAGAUGUGGAGGAACACCGAUGGCGAAGGCAGCCCCCUGGGCUGAGAUUGACGCUGAGGGCACGAAAGCGUGGGGAGCAAACAGG
rnacentral:rRNA from 1 species